rnacentral:rRNA from 1 species
AUUGAACGCUGGCGGCAGGCCUAACACAUGCAAGUCGAACGAGUGGCGGACGGGUGAGUAAUGUCUGGGAAACUGCCUGCUGGAGGGGGAUAACUACUGGAAACGGUAGCUAAUACCGCAUACCAUCGGAUGUGCCCAGAGGGGAUUAGCUAGUUGGUGGGGUAAAGGCUGACCUAGGCGACGAUCCCUAGCUGGUCUGAGAGGAGGACCAGCCAGACUGGAACGGAGACACGGUCCAGACGCCUAAGGGGGGCAGCAGUGGGGAAUAUGGCACAAUGGGCGCAAGGCGGGUGCAGCCAUGCCGCGUGUAUGAAGAAGGCCUUCGGGUUGUAAAGUACUUUCAGCGGGGAGGCGUUACCCGCAGAAGAAGCACCGGCUAACUACGUGCCAGCAGCCGCGGUAAUUC